AUACCUUUCUCGGCCUUUUGGUUAAGAUCAAGUGUAGUAUCUGUUCUUAUCAGUAUAAUAUCUGAUACGUGAGUCAUUGACCCACAUGAUAUUAAAUUUAUUUUGCUAGGGGGAGGGUCUAUCACAGUAGCUUGCUACUGGGAUCUUCGAGCGUCGCCUAUGCGUUGCACUACAGCAUUGGCCUGGCGCACCCCAA
rnacentral:snRNA from 1 species